rfam:Triticum aestivum genome assembly, contig: Triticum_aestivum_CS42_TGACv1_scaffold_003015_1AL
UAUGUACUCCCUUCAUCCGAAAAUACUUGUCAUCAAAAUGGAUAAAAAGAAAUGUAUCUAAAAAUCCAUUUUGAUGACAAGUAUUUUCGGACGGAGGGAGUAUCUU